rnacentral:misc_RNA from 1 species
GAAAUGCGAUAAGUAAUGUGAAUUGCGGAAUUCCGUGAAUCAUCGAAUCUUUGAACGCACAUUGCGCCCUCUGGCAUUCCGGGGGGCAUGCCUGUCCGAGCGUCAUUACGCACCCUCAAGCCCGGCUUGUGUGAUGGGCCCCGGCGUCUCGUUCGCGAGACGGGCCCGAAAGGCAGCGGCGGCGUCGACCCGAUGAGCCCGAGCGUAUGGGGACUUCUGUCACACGUUCGCGGUGCGGACCGGCGCCUGCUUGACUUUUCUGAUUAUCCAGGUUGACCUCGGAUCAGGUAGGGAUACCCGCUGAACUUAAGC